AUGAACGCUAGCUACAGGCUUAACACAUGCAAGUCGAGGGGCAGCAUUUCAGUUUGCUUGCAAACUGGAGAUGGCGACCGGCGCACGGGUGAGUAACACGUAUCCAACCUGCCGAUAACUCGGGGAUAGCCUUUCGAAAGAAAGAUUAAUACCCGAUGGUAUAAUCAGACCGCAUGGUCUUGUUAUUAAAGAAUUUCGGUUAUCGAUGGGGAUGCGUUCCAUUAGGCAGUUGGUGAGGUAACGGCUCACCAAACCUUCGAUGGAUAGGGGUUCUGAGAGGAAGGUCCCCCACAUUGGAACUGAGACACGGUCCAAACUCCUACGGGAGGCAGCAGUGAGGAAUAUUGGUCAAUGGGCGCAGGCCUGAACCAGCCAAGUAGCGUGAAGGAUGACUGCCCUAUGGGUUGUAAACUUCUUUUAUAUGGGAAUAAAGUUUUCCACGUGUGGAAUUUUGUAUGUACCAUAUGAAUAAGGAUCGGCUAACUCCGUGCCAGCAGCCGCGGUAAUACGGAGGAUCCGAGCGUUAUCCGGAUUUAUUGGGUUUAAAGGGAGCGUAGGUGGACAGUUAAGUCAGUUGUGAAAGUUUGCGGCUCAACCGUAAAAUUGCAGUUGAUACUGGCUGUCUUGAGUACAGUAGAGGUGGGCGGAAUUCGUGGUGUAGCGGUGAAAUGCUUAGAUAUCACGAAGAACUCCGAUUGCGAAGGCAGCUCACUGGACUGCAACUGACACUGAUGCUCGAAAGUGUGGGUAUCAAACAGGAUUAGAUACCCUGGUAGUCCACACAGUAAACGAUGAAUACUCGCUGUUUGCGAUAUACAGUAAGCGGCCAAGCGAAAGCAUUAAGUAUUCCACCUGGGGAGUACGCCGGCAACGGUGAAACUCAAAGGAAUUGACGGGGGCCCGCACAAGCGGAGGAACAUGUGGUUUAAUUCGAUGAUACGCGAGGAACCUUACCCGGGCUUAAAUUGCAUUUGAAUAUAUUGGAAACAGUAUAGCCGUAAGGCAAAUGUGAAGGUGCUGCAUGGUUGUCGUCAGCUCGUGCCGUGAGGUGUCGGCUUAAGUACCAUAACGAGCGCAACCCUUAUCUUUAGUUACUAACAGGUCAUGCUGAGGACUCUAGAGAGACUGCCGUCGUAAGAUGUGAGGAAGGUGGGGAUGACGUCAAAUCAGCACGGCCCUUACGUCCGGGGCUACACACGUGUUACAAUGGGGGGUACAGAAGGCAGCUACCUGGUGACAGGAUGCUAAUCCCAAAAGCCUCUCUCAGUUCGGAUCGAAGUCUGCAACCCGACUUCGUGAAGCUGGAUUCGCUAGUAAUCGCGCAUCAGCCAUGGCGCGGUGAAUACGUUCCCGGGCCUUGUACACACCGCCCGUCAAGCCAUGAAAGCCGGGGGUACCUGAAGUACGUAACCGCAAGGAGCGUCCUAGGGUAAAACUGGUAAUUGGGGCU
rnacentral:rRNA from 1 species